ensembl:miRNA gga-mir-12259 gga-mir-12259
GUGCAGGUAGGCAGGGGGAGCAGGCUGUGUGCUGGUUGCCUACCGUCUGCCUCUUUGUCUAUCUGCAGA